rnacentral:rRNA from 1 species
UAUAGAUGGAUCCGCGCUGCAUUAGCUAGUUGGUAAGGUAACGGCUUACCAAGGCAACGAUGCAUAGCCGACCUGAGAGGGUGAUCGGCCACACUGGAACUGAGACACGGUCCAGACUCCUACGGGAGGCAGCAGUAGGGAAUCUUCCGCAAUGGGCGAAAGCCUGACGGAGCAACGCCGCGUGAGUGAUGAAGGUCUUCGGAUCGUAAAACUCUGUUAUUAGGGAAGAACAUAUGUGUAAGUAACUGUGCACAUCUUGACGGUACCUAAUCAGAAAGCCACGGCUAACUACGUGCCAGCAGCCGCGGUAAUACGUAGGUGGCAAGCGUUAUCCGGAAUUAUUGGGCGUAAAGCGCGCGUAGGCGGUUUUUUAAGUCUGAUGUGAAAGCCCACGGCUCAACCGUGGAGGGUCAUUGGAAACUGGAAAACUUGAGUGCAGAAGAGGAAAGUGGAAUUCCAUGUGUAGCGGUGAAAUGCGCAGAGAUAUGGAGGAACACCAGUGGCGAAGGCGACUUUCUGGUCUGUAACUGACGCUGAUGUGCGAAAGCGUGGGGAUCAAACAGGAUUAGAUACCCUGGUAGUCCACGCCGUAAACGAUGAGUGCUAAGUGUUAGGGGGUUUCCGCCCCUUAGUGCUGCAGCUA